rnacentral:tRNA from 88 species
GGGGCCAUAGCUCAGCUGGGAGAGCGCAACACUGGCAGUGUUGAGGUCAGCGGUUCGAUCCCGCUUGGCUCCACCA